rfam:Heterocephalus glaber contig113347, whole genome shotgun sequence.
AGGGAUUUAGCUCAAUGGUUCCAGCGUCUGCCUCACAAGCACAAGGUCCCAAGUUCAAUCCCUG